rnacentral:rRNA from 1 species
ACCGGGGGGAUCCUCUAGAGAUUGAGUUUGAUCCUGGCUCAGGACGAACGCUGGCGGCGUGCUUAACACAUGCAAGUCGAACGAUGAACCACUUCGGUGGGGAUUAGUGGCGAACGGGUGAGUAACACGUGGGCAAUCUGCCCUGCACUCUGGGACGAGCCCUGGAAACGGGGUCUAAUACCGGAUAAUACUUCCACUCUCCUGGGUGGGGGUUGAAAGCUCCGGCGGUGCAGGAUGAGCCCGCGGCCUAUCAGCUAGUCGGUGAGGUAAUGGCUCACCGAGGCGACGACGGGUAGCCGGCCUGAGAGGGCGACCGGCCACACUGGGACUGAGACACGGCCCAGACUCCUACGGGAGGCAGCAGUGGGGAAUAUUGCACAAUGGGCGCAAGCCUGAUGCAGCGACGCCGCGUGGGGGAUGACGGCCUUCGGGUUGUAAACCUCUUUCAGCAGGGAAGAAGCGCAAGUGACGGUACCUGCAGAAGAAGCGCCGGCUAACUACGUGCCAGCAGCCGCGGUAAUACGUAGGGCGCAAGCGUUGUCCGGAAUUAUUGGGCGUAAAGAGCUCGUAGGCGGCUUGUCACGUCGGGUGUGAAAGCUCGGGGCUUAACCCCGGGUCUGCAUUCGAUACGGGCUGGCUGGAGUGUGGUAGGGGAGAUCGGAAUUCCUGGUGUAGCGGUGAAAUGCGCAGAUAUCAGGAGGAACACCGGUGGCGAAGGCGGAUCUCUGGGCCAUUACUGACGCUGAGGAGCGGAAGCGUGGGGAGCGACACAGGAUUAGAUACCCUGGUAGUCCACGCGCGUAAACGGUGGGCACUAGGUGUGGGCAACAGUGCACGUUGUCCGUCCCGCAGCUAACGCAUUAAGUGCCCCCCCUGGGGAGUACGGCCGCAAGGCUAGAACUCAAAGGAAUUGACGGGGGCACGCACUAGCAGCGGAGCAUGUGGGUUAAUUCGACGCAACGUGAAGAACGUCGUCACGACUUGACUUACACCGGAAAACCCUCGAGACAGGGUGCCCCUUGUGGUCGGUGUACAGGUGGUGCAUGGCUGUCCUCAUAUCGUGUCGUGAGAUGUUGGGCUAAGUCCCGCAACGAGCGCAACCCUUGUCUGAAAGAGCCAGCAACGGUUUCGGCCGGUUGGGGACUCACGGGAGACCGCCGGGGUCAACUCGGAGGAAGGUGGGGUUGACGUCAAGUCAUCAUGCUCGGUAUGUGGUGGGCUUCUCACUUGCUACAAUGGCCGUUACAAUGACAUGCGAUACCGCAAGGUGGAGCGAAUCUCAAAAAGCCGUUCUCAGUUAGGAGAUGGGUCUGCAACUCGUCCCCAUGAAGUCGGAGUUUCUAGUAAUCGCAGAUCAGCAGGAAGCGGUGAAUACGUUUAGCGGGCCUUGUACACACCGCUCGUCACGUCCAGAAAGUCGGUAACACCCGAAGCCCGUGGCCCAACCAGUUAUUCUCGGGGGAGCGGUCGAAGGUGGGACUGGCGAUUGGGAAGAAGUCGUAACAAGGUAGCCGUUCCGGAAGGAGCGGCUCAUCACCUCGAGAUAAUCCGGACCGCGCG